AGUUACCCCGGUGGGUGUGAGUUGUUGCGUGGGCCCGAGGGAGCUGGGUGGCCCGGUUUGGGAAGUUUUUCAGGCAGGUGCAUGAGCCAUCUUUCUCUGAUAGGGUUUAAGAAAUGUGCAAGAACAGUGGCUGGGAGUCAAGAAACUGGGAGAUCCAGAUCAGACAGAAGGAAGGAAGCGGAUCAAGGAAAGGGUGGAGGGCAAAAGGAAGGAGUUAGGGGGUUUCUCUCAAGCUGGACUUUUUUCUCGGGAUGGGAUCCUUUUGCUAGAGCACUUGGUUUUCCGUUUUCGUCAGUUACUAAUCACACUGUAUUGGAACUGGGUAGAAGAGAAAACGAGGGCAGGAUCACAGCAUUUAAUAAAUCUGAGUGCUGAGUUUUCAAGCGGACGCAUUCCUAACUUAAAAUAUCAAGAGGGUUUGGGAUGAGGAAUAAAAGACGUUUUAAUUUAUGAGAUCAACUACUGAAAUUGGAUAUUUGUUUUUCUCAAGUUUUCCUCUUAUAACGCAUGAUCUUUCUGUCUCUGGGCAUAAGGUUUUAAAACCAUCCUGAGCUAUUUUA
rnacentral:lncRNA from 1 species